rnacentral:rRNA from 1 species
UACAGAGGGUGCAAACGUUGCUCGGAAUUAUUGGGCGUAAAGCGCACGUAGGCGGCGCGUUAAGUCAGAUGUGAAAGCCCCGGGCUCAACCCGGGAAGUGCAUUUGAAACUGGCGCGCUUGAGUAUGGAAGAGGGUCGCGGAAUUCCCGGUGUAGAGGUGAAAUUCGUAGAUAUCGGGAGGAACACCAGUGGCGAAGGCGGCGACCUGGGCCAAUACUGACGGCUGAGGUGCGAAAGCGUGGGGAGCAAACAGG